UAAAACCUAAAAGUGUCCCCGACCUCAACCUAACUUCAAUCCUCUUCUCUCUAAUCUGGUGCCCCCCUCAGUUCUAUCUCUUUUUAGUUUCUUAGCCACUUGAUUCCACAUCCGAUGCGCAACCUCUAGCAUCUAGCAUGAGAAUUUUGUUAUAUUAUGAGUUCGAGGGAGGAGCGAGCAAUUGCCUAAAGCCAAUUCCCCAAAAUCUUUCCGACCCAUUCGACUUCGAUUUCUCGCCAUCGCGACCGAACUCCAACCAAAUGGCGACGGCGGAUUUUGACGAUGUGGGGGUGCUCGGAGAGGUGGCGGCAUCCUCUGCUGCACCAACAAGACGAAGAUGUAAUGGGCUUGCGAUGAGAAAGUUCAAAGUGAACAAGCUCAUGAGCAAAUAGCAGAGGGUUCCUCUGUCCUCCAACAUGCCCAGUUUUCAGUUUAUGAUUUGCAGAAGCUGUUUGAUAAUUGGAUUUUGUUUGACUUUUUGAGUUUGAUUUGCAUGUGGCAAUUGGGUAAUUGGGUUUUGCUUGAAUUUUUAAGUUUGGGCAAUAGGAUUUGCAGGAGGCAAUUGCGUUUUCUUUGUUGAAUUAUGAGAUUAGCUUUGUUCGUGAUUUGCCUAAAGCCAAUUCUUUCCGCCUGGAA